GACGAACGCUGGCGGCGUGCCUAAUACAUGCAAGUAGAACGCAGAUGCGAACAGGUGAGAAACACGUAGGUAAAUGCCUCAUAGCGGGGGAUAAAAAAUGGAAACAAGAGCUCAUACCGCAUACUGUGAGAUGGACCUGCGUUGUAUUAGCUCGUUGGUGGGGUAAGGGCUCACCAAGGCGACGAUACAUAGCCGGCCUGAGAGGGUGAUCGGCCACACUGGGACUGAGACACGGCCCAGACUCCUACGGGAGGCAGCAGUAGGGAAUCUUCGGCAAUGGACGGAAGUCUGACCGAGCAACGCCGCGUGAGUGAUGAAGGUUUUCGGGUCGUAAAGCUCUGUUGUUAGAGAAGCGGUACCUAACCAGAAAGGGACGGCUAACUACGUGCCAGCAGCCGCGGUAAUAC
rnacentral:rRNA from 1 species